rnacentral:tRNA from 1 species
GGUGGCUCAGUGGUAGAGCGCUUGCCUUGCGUGCAUGAAACCCUGGGUUCCAUUCCUCAGCACCA